rnacentral:tRNA from 1 species
AUUUAUAUAGUUUAAAAAAAACUUUAUAUUUUCAUUAUAAAAAUAUGAAUUUAUUCAUUAUAAAUA